GGGGGGAGGCUGGAUCCUGGGCUGUGUCUCAGCGCCGUAUGCUCCCGGUCUGCACUGUUGGAUUCGUGCUCCUGGCCACGCAGCCGCCU
rnacentral:pre_miRNA from 1 species